UUCUCCCUGACCCUUUAAGGGUCCUGAAGGAACGUUGAAGACGACGACGUUGAUAGGCCGGGUGUGUAAGCGCAGCGAUGCGUUGAGCUAACCGGUACUAAUGAACCGUGAGGCUUAACCUUACAACGCCGAAG
rnacentral:rRNA from 1 species